AUGAUUGACGUGAUGGCCACGCCCCCUCCCCCGCCCCGUUCCUCCUUGGGGUUCGGUUUUGGUUUCGUUUCACUGCGGGAACCGAGCGCCCGUAAUGGAGGCGGUGCUGGAGCUGUGGGGCGCCCCCAGCGGCCGGGAGGAGCAAGAGCAGCUGCUGGACCCGGAGAACGCGACGAGAUCGGGGGGCGGAACAGAGCGGGAAUGGGGCAGGAUGGGAACGGCCCCAUAUGGAACAUACCAGAGUCAGAGCGCCCUGGAAGGCGUCCUGGCUCGUGCCCCACACCAUCUGUGGGGCCGGGAGCUGAAGCUGCGUCGUGCCCCCCCCUGGGACCCCACGGCGCUGCUG
rnacentral:lncRNA from 1 species